rnacentral:rRNA from 1 species
GACAGAGGGUGCAAACGUUGUUCGGAAUUACUGGGCGUAAAGCGCGUGUAGGCGGCCAUGCAAGUCGGAUGUGAAAGCCCUCGGCUCAACCGGGGAAGUGCACUCGAAACUGCAAGGCUAGAGUCUCGGAGAGGAUCGUGGAAUUCUCGGUGUAGAGGUGAAAUUCGUAGAUAUCGAGAGGAACACCGGUGGCGAAGGCGGCGAUCCGGACGAUGACUGACGCUGAGACGCGAAAGCGUGGGGAGCAAACAGG